UUAAAGGGUGCGUAGGCGGCUSAUUAAGUCAGUUCUGAAAGCCCCCGGCUUAACCKGGGAGGUGGCWUUGAUACUGGYCGGCUUGAGUGCUGUCGAGGCARGCGGAAUUGACGUGUAGCGGUGAAAUGCUUAGAUAUCUUCAGGAACACCGAUGGUGAAGACAGCUUGCYGGACWRCAACUGACGCUGAGGCACGAAAGYGUGGGGAGCAAACAGGAUUAGAUACCCUGGUAGUCCACACUGUAAACGAUGAUGACUNGCUGUUGGCGAUAUAC
rnacentral:rRNA from 1 species